AAUUAUUAAUAUAAUGAUAUAUAUAAUUUAAAUAAAAAAAAAAUUAUUUUAACAUAUAUGAUUUUGGUUAUGGACUAUUUAAACUAUUAUGAUUUUAUUUAUAUUUAAAAUAAUCUUUAUAUUUUAAAAAACAUAACAUAUAAAUUUAUUUUGUAAAGUUUGAGUUAAUAUAUAUUAGAAUUUCCUUAUAUAACAUAUUGAUUCAUAAUAAAUUAUUAAUAUAAUAAUAUAUAAUUUAAAUUUAAAAGGUUAAGGUCACCAUUAAUAACAAGAGGAGACAUCGUCGUGGAAGUUACCACCAAUAAUAGCAUUGAGCCACUACUGUCUAAUAGAACGUCAUACUCAUAUAAUCUCUCUUGCACUAACAAUAAGUUCAGGAGUUUCCAAUCCUACAUAAGGUAGAUGUGCAUAAAUUAGUUAUAUGCAAUGGUCUCCUAGUCCUUCUUCCUCCUCUUGGGUAUCUUCAUCUCCACCACUUCCUAAUUCAUCCUCUCAUGCGCUCCCAUCUAUCCCACCUACGAUGCGAUGGUCUAGCUCUUUUUUACAUCCGUAUUCGACCUCUCUUAUCUCUACCAUUUCAUCUUCAUAUGUCAUUACAAUCUCUAUCGCUUCCUCUUCCUCGAUAAGAUAUAUAUUUUUUAAACUUAAAUUACAUAUCAUUAUAUUAACAAUUUAUUAUGAAUCAACAUGUCACAUAAGUAGAUUCUAACUUGAUGAUAGAAGCUUAUAUACUAUAUUUUUAAAAAUAUAAGAAUUAUUUUAAAUAUAAACUAAAAUUAUAUAAAUUAAAAUAAAUUUAUUUAUUUAAAUUAAUAUAUUAUUUAUAUUAAUAAUUUAUUAUGAGUCAAUAUGUCACUUAAGCAAACUUUAACGUCUACAAGUCUGAGAAAGACUUAUAUAUUAUAUUUUUAAAAUUAUAAGAGUUAUUUUAGAUAUGAAUAAAUUAUAAAGACUUAAAUGAUUUAUAGCCAAAAUUACAUUAAUCUGUUUUGAUAUCUGGAUGCGGGUUUUCAAUCCGUAUUCUGAGUUCGGAUCCAAGCGGCUCCGACAUGUACCGAUCCGAUAACAUGCACUCCCGCCCACCUUCCCGCCUCAGGUUUCGCUCUUACCGCCUUUCAAGUCUUGCGCACACCACCCUCAGUCUUCCGGUAUCUAUAGUUUCUUGGUUCUGAUCUCCUCGCCCGCCUCCGGUGGAUCGGAGAAUCUUCCACCCAGAAAAAACUUUUCUCCUUUGCCGAAUCCGAUGGCCGAUCUAGAAAAAAACCGACAAUGGCUUCUCCCCUGCUUGGCUUCCGCUUCACGCUUGUUCGGAAGCUAUGCGAAGGCCCCCCAACGUUGGGGACGUCAGGUGGGGUAAGCCGUGGUCGAUAGAGCCCCCAUCGAGGUCGAGAUAGGAUAUAAAGCUACGGUUGGGUCGAGGAGAGUCGACGACAAGGUGGCGUUCAAGAAGGAGAGAGCCGUCAGGUUCUAUCCUGGUGAGAGACUGAGAGCAACAAAAACCAAAUACCAGGUCUCACAACCUGGUAGACUAAUUCCCAGUAGAAUUGAUUCUGGGGACCCUUUGGGUUUCGAAGUUUUCAUCGAGGACCAUGAUCCUUGGUGGAAGAGGAUACUUGAUCCAGGAAGGAACUUCUUGAUGAAAUGGAACCAUAUCUUCCUCGUCUCAUUCUUGGUUGCACCGGUCAUGGAUCCUCUUUACUUCUAAUUGCCGUUGGUCCAUAAGAGCAGCACUAUGUGUAUCAAGACGGAUGAGAAUCUGAGAGUUACCAUUACCUUCUUCCGAACUCUUGCCAAUCUAUUCUAUAUACUAAACAUAGCUGUGAAGUUAGGACUGCGUAUGUUGCUCAAAGCUUGAGAGUAUUUGGACGGGGAGAGCUUAUAAUGGACCGCAAGAAGAUUGCAAUGAGGUAUUUGAGAUCAGACUUCUCUGUAGAUUUAGCAGCUGCCCUGCCGCUACCACAGGUUUGCUCUCGUCCCUCUCUUGAAGUUUCAGCUCACAUAGCCUAGAAUUGUUCAUGAAUAAUAUACUUCUAUCAAGAUGAUACUUAGUUGUCAUCCUCGCUGAAAGCUUGAUUGAUCAAAAGUUACAGGUAGUUCAUAUAUAUAAUAACUAAGUCUGCCAUGUUAAAAAUUAGCACUAUGUUGAAGACGUACAUAAACUCCAUUCAGAUAUGGUAAGUUCUAUGCAAGAGAGAAGCAUCCAUUUGGAAUGAUAGUGAGCUUUAUGUGAAGGUUUGGAAGAUUAUGAUUAAAUCAUGCAGUUUUAUGUCAAAGUAAAAUUUAGCGUGUUGCAUGUUUGCUGAGUCAGUUCUUGCUGAUACAACUUGCUUUCAAAUAGUCACCCUUCCAACCAAAUAGAAGAACAGUUUUUCAAUAGCUGCAAACAGACACUUCAUAUUCAUGCCAAUUAGACUUAAACUAAGUGAAACUGUUGGAUGUUUAAAGCCUUUGAUGAUGAUGUCACCAAUAGCACCAGAGGAUUCAGAGUGAGUAGGAUGUUGGUGGCAGGCAAUGGAUUCGGAUGAGCUGGAGAAUAAUUUCACAACUUGGACAAAGCAAGUACUAGAAAACACUGGAAAAAAAAUAAAAUCAUAGACUCUAAAAAUUCGUGAAAAAAUAAAAUCCAGACCAAUACUUGACAUAAUCACUGUCCUUGAUGAAUUAUAUGGUGUAAAGUUUUUUUGGCAUGAAUUUAGUUGUUCAGGUGUUCUUGGUGCUCCUUAUUUUCUUGAACAGGUCUAGUUACUCUUUGGGUUCUGGGACAAAUCUGGAAAUAAACCCAGUUGAUGUGCCAUUUAAAUGAGUUUGUUUGGGUCAUUCAUUGUUGCAUACCAUAUGCUCAAUCAAAUCAACUAUAUUUUAAACUAGUUUUUGGUCUUGUCUAUUAUGCAAUUACCAUCUAGCCUGGCAAUUCUGAAUUGUUGUCCAUGAGUUUUGUUGGGUUAUCUAUGAUAUGAUGUCUUAGGAUUUAAAUGUACCUCGACCAUAAUAUUUUGGCCAUGGAGAUAUCCUGUUUUUAGCAGGAAUAUAAAAAGCCUUAAUAUAUGCUUUUCCAACGGGAGGUUGCAGGAAAACGAAGGCCUUCAUCAUGUUUUGGAAAAUGAAUCAUAAACAAUCUCAUAUGUAAACUUUCUUUCAACAAAAACACUAGUAUUUGAGGUAGAGGAUUUCAAUUUGCCCUGGAAGCUUUCGUUAAAAUUGUGAUAUGUUUUGUAUAAAUUGUGUAUUUGUCCCACCUGCAUAUCCAUUCUUUCACGCAGAUUGUUAUUUGGUCAGUCAUCCUAACAAUCAGGAACUUAAGAGCCCAAGACAACAAUAAUGCACUUGCUUUGAUUGUUCUAAUACAAUACAUACCAAGAUUUUAUCUUAUAUUUCCCUUAAGUCAACAAAUUAUUAAAACUAAUGGGGUUGUUACAAAGAUUGCUUGGGCAGGAGCUGUAUACAAUCUUUUGCUUUACAUGAUUGCCAGCCAUGUAAGUAACUCUAUCACUUUCCCUUAAUUAUUUUGUAUCAACCUUGAAAAUUAUGAUGGAUAUAUUGUCUUCAUUCUGAGGAAAAAAGUUUUCACAGGAUUUUAUUGGAAUUUGCAGGUUUUAGGAGCUUCAUGGUCUUUGCUUUCAGUUGAAAGACAGAGGACAUGCUGGAAAUCACAAUGCACUCUGGAUAGACCAUUAUGCAAACUAAGGUUCAUGAUUGUGGCUUGUCAAGCCAACCGGAACGUCAAAGCUGGGUUAGUGUCGCAAAGGUUUUCAAAAAUUGUGGUCCUAAUGGCACUUUCAAAUUUGGCAUUUUUAAAUCUGCACUAACAAAUGAAGUUCUUACCACGAAGCUUGUCAAGAAGUAUUUCUAUCGUCUUUAGCGGGGAUUGCAAAAGCAAAGGCAUGAACUCUUACUUCCUAUCUUUCAUGUGAAAGUUAAUAUGACUUGGCACAAUUAUGGAUACUCUUGAUUUUUUUUUCUCAUGCUAUUUCCUUGAUUUCAGAAAGAUGCUACCGCAUCCGGUGGAUUGAAGCUCACUGUGCUCUUGUAUUCUUGCUUGACAAGAAAAACUUUAGCAGAGGAGAGUAUGAUCAACAUAAGCACGGCUGCUGUCAUCGUUACGUGGGUUUGUUUACCAAGGAAAGAAGAGCGUUGGGAACAGGUGUUCUGACAUCAACCAGCUCAAGAUGUGGAUGUGUCACCGGCUGCUAUUGCUUUUGCGACCGUUAGAGAUGCAGAUCUGAUGACUGUAGCAGGUGGAAACUCUGUGCGUUAAUACACCGACAAUGGUGUCGCACAAAUUAGUGGCCUUUUUCCAACGGCUUGGCUUGGUUGGGGAGGCUUUAUUUGAUGCAAUUGUUCGCGAUGGCCCAACCACGUCUAUUGAUUGACUGCCACCAAUAUCUGAUGUGACACCACAGUUCGACUGCUCAUCAAUUUAUUCAAUUUCAAUUAAAUAUAUA